rnacentral:lncRNA from 10 species
CUGAGUUCCACAAUGAGAAUGUAAGCGGCAAUCUUGAAGACAACCACCAAGGCGGGAAGGGGAUAGGACAAGGAUUGUCCACCAUGACACUGAGAUUAUGCCAUGUGUUCCAAGAUCUCCUUGGAGGUAACAGAUUUUGGAGAAAGAGGGUACCAGGGAAGAAGAGAUGGUGAACAAAGGACAGGCCAUUCACAGGAAAGAGCAACACGCUUGGAUUUAGAAGUUCUAAUUUCCUUUCCUUCUGUGUCGCUAAC